CCAGGGAAAAAACGAAAAACGAUCUUUUGACGUGGUCGCCCCAGAUCGUGAAAUGUACAAGCAAUACUCGAGAACCAAAAUGCCCUCCAUUUACGAGAUGCAAAGAUGAUGCAUGCACAAUGUGUGAACAACUGCCAGGUGUUCGUAAGAAAAAAAGCGUCGACGAAUCCUUGACAUGGAAAAAGGUGUUGAAGAUAGACUAGAAGAGAAACAAGAAAGACACUGCAAUACUUCAUUUAUUCGUUAACUUUUGGUUUUAGUCUAGUAAUUGGGAACAUUUUGCACUAGUAUAAGUAGAAAUAAUAAACGAAGCUAAUUUGAAGAAUUUUUCUUUUGCAUGUUAGAGCUUUUAUAUGAAGCAGUAUAAGCUCUGUACAGGGGCG